CCUACGGGUGGCUGCAGUAGGGAAUCUUCCACAAUGGGCGCAAGCCUGAUGGAGCAAUACCGCGUGUGUGAAGAAGGCCUUCGGCUCGUAAAGUUCUGUCGUCGGAGAAGAACGUGGUAGAGAGUAUCUGUUCACGCAUUGACGGUACCCGCCGAGAAAGUCCCGGCUAACUCCGUGCCAGCAGCCGCGGUAAUACGGAGGGUGCAAGCGUUAUCCGGAUUUACUGGGCGUAAAGCGCGCGCAGGCGGUUGCUUAGGUCUGAUGUGAAAGCCUUCGGCUCAACCGAGGAAGUGCAUCGGAAACCGGGAGGCUUGAGUGCAGAAGAGGGCGGUAGAAUUCCAGGUGUAGCGGUGGAAUGCGUAGAUAUAUGGAGGAACACCAGUGGCGAAGGCGGCUGUCUGGACGAAGACUGACGCUCAGGUUCGAAAGCAUGGGGAGCGAACAGGAUUAGAUACCCGAGUAGUC
rnacentral:rRNA from 1 species